GACGAACGCUGGCGGCGUGCUUAACACAUGCAAGUCGAACGGAAAGGCCUCUUUCGGGGGGUACUCGAGUGGCGAACGGGUGAGUAACACGUGAGUAACCUGCCCUUGACUUUGGGAUAAUUUCAGGAAACUGGGGCUAAUACCGGAUAGGAGCUCCUGCUGCAUGGUGGGGGUUGGAAAGUUUCGGCGGUUGGGGAUGGACUCGCGGCUUAUCAGCUUGUUGGUGGGGUAGUGGCUUACCAAGGCUUUGACGGGUAGCCGGCCUGAGAGGGUGACCGGCCACAUUGGGACUGAGAUACGGCCCAGACUCCUACGGGAGGCAGCAGUGGGGAAUAUUGCACAAUGGGUGGAAGCCUGAUGCAGCAACGCCGUGUGCGGGAUGACGGCCUUCGGGUUGUAAACCGCUUUCGCUCAUGACAAAGCUUUGUGUGACGGUAGUGGGUAAAGAAGCACCGGCUAACUACGUG
rnacentral:rRNA from 1 species